GUCCUCGUAGCUCAGCAGGAUAGAGCACCAGAUUCCUAAUCUGGGGGUCACAGGUUCGAAUCCUGUCGGGGACGCCA
rnacentral:tRNA from 3 species